rnacentral:lncRNA from 1 species
AAUAGACACAAUAUAGAUACAAAGGCACAAGAAAUCAUGAAAAGGUAGGAUACGAUAGGGGCAAUCUGUGUGUGUGUGUGUGUGCAGGGUUUUGCGCAUGUGUAAUAGCUUGUAUAUGUAAAUUUAUGUGUCUGUAUUAUUUAGGAUGUAAAAUAGCAUCCAUAAGCAUAGUGGGUUAUCAAAAUAGUAGAAUUCAUACUUUAGGCAAUAGUAUCAACAUCCACAAACUCUAUCAUUUAGUCAUCUUUCAAAUACAUAUAUUAUAAUCCAAACUUUAUCGAAUAACAUCAAUGUUGCAAACUUCAAAAUUAACCAUUUAUCAUUAAAAGGUCAACAUUCAUCAAGAACAAAAGAAAGAAGGAAAUUAAAUAAAACCCUUCCAUUUGGAGGUAUAGCCAUAUAGGUGAAGUAUUUCAGUCAUAUUUGAGAGGCAUGCAAAGUCCUUUCUAAUUUCAAAAUUAAAAGCAUAUCCUAGAAGUAUGUGACAAGCAUCAAUAUUGGAUUCAUAUUCAAUA